AUUGAACGCUGGCGGCAGGCCUAACACAUGCAAGUCGAGCGAGCGGCGGACGGGUGAGUAAUGUUUGGUGUUCUGCCCUAUAGAGGGGGAUAACUACUGGAAACGGUGGCUAAUACCGCAUACUAGCGGAUGAACCCGUAUUGGAUUAGCUUGUCUGUGGGGUAAAGGCGCACCUAGGCGACGAUCUCUAGCUGGUCUGAGAGGAUGAUUAGCCACACUGGGACUGAGACACGGCCCAGACUCCUCCGCGAGGUAGCAGUGGGGAAUAUUGCACAAUGGGCGCAAGCCGGCUGCAGCCAUGCCGCGUGUAUGAAGAAGGUCUUAGGGCUGUAAAGUACUUUCAGCGGGGAGGCGUUACCCGCAGAAGAAGCACCGGAUAACUCCGUGCCAGCAGCCGCGGUAAUUC
rnacentral:rRNA from 1 species